GCUGCUGCAGCUGAGGUACGGCGGCGGUUUCUGAGGCACCUGACCGGCGACUGACGGAGCUGCGGUGGCGUCUCCACACUCAACCAUGAAGUUGAAGGACACGAAAUCAAGGCCAAAGCAGUCAAGCUAUGGCAAAUUUCAGACAAAGGGAAUCAAAGUUGUGGGAAAAUGGAAGGAAGUGAAGAUUGACCCAAAUAUGUUUGCAGAUGGACAGAUGGAUGACUUGGUGUGCUUUGAGGAAUUGACAGAUUACCAGUUGGUCUCCCCUGCCAAGAAUCCCUCCAGUCUCUUCUCAAAGGAAGCACCCAAGAGAAAGGCACAAGCUGUUUCAGAAGAAGAGGAGGAGGAGGAGGGAGAGUCUAGCUCACCAAAGAAAAAGAUCAAGUUGAAGAAAAGUAAAAAUGUAGCAACUGAAGGAACCAGUACCCAGAAAGAAUUUGAAGUCAAAGAUCCUGAGCUGGAGGCCCAGGGAGAUGGCAUGGUUUGUGAUGAUCCGGAGGCUGGGGAGAUGACAUCAGAAAACCUGGUCCAAACUGCUCCAAAAAAGAAGAAAAAUAAAGCGAAAAAAGGGUUGGAGCCUUCUCAGAGCACUGCUGCCAAGGUGCCCAAAAAAGCGAAGACGUGGAUUCCUGAAGUUCAUGAUCAGAAGGCAGAUGUGUCAGCUUGGAAGGACCUGUUUGUUCCCAGGCCGGUUCUCCGAGCACUCAGCUUUCUAGGCUUCUCUGCACCCACACCAAUCCAAGUCCUGACCUUGGCACCUGCCAUCCGUGACAAACUGGACAUCCUUGGGGCUGCUGAGACAGGAAGUGGGAAAACUCUUGCCUUUGCCAUCCCAAUGAUUCAUGCAGUGUUGCAGUGGCAGAAGAGGAAUGCUGCCCCUCCUCCAAGUAACACUGAAGCACCACCUGGGGAGACCAGACCUGAGGCCGGAGCUGAGACUAGAUCACCAGGCAAGGCUGAAGCUGAGUCUGAUGCAUUGCCUGAUGAUACUGUAAUUGAGAGUGAAGCACUGCCCAGUGAUACUGCAGCCGAGGCCAGAGCCAAGACUGGAGGCACUGUCUCAGACCAGGCGUUGCUCUUUGGUGAUGAUGAUGCUGGUGAAGGGCCUUCUUCCCUGAUCAGGGAGAAACCUGUUCCCAAACAGAAUGAGAAUGAGGAGGAAAAUCUUGAUAAAGAGCAGACUGGAAAUCUAAAACAAGAAUUGGAUGACAAAAGCGCCACCUGUAAGACAUAUCCAAAGCGUCCUCUGCUUGGACUGGUUCUGACUCCCACUCGAGAGCUGGCUGUCCAGGUCAAACAGCACAUUGAUGCUGUGGCCAGGUUUACAGGAAUUAAAACUGCUAUUUUGGUUGGUGGAAUGUCCACGCAGAAACAGCAGAGGAUGCUGAACCGUCGUCCUGAGAUUGUGGUUGCUACUCCAGGCCGGCUGUGGGAAUUAAUUAAAGAAAAGCAUUAUCAUUUGAGGAACCUUCGGCAGCUCAGGUGCCUGGUAGUGGAUGAGGCUGACCGGAUGGUUGAGAAAGGCCAUUUUGCUGAGCUCUCACAGCUGCUAGAGAUGCUCAAUGACUCCCAAUACAACCCAAAGAGACAAACGCUUGUUUUUUCUGCCACACUCACCCUGGUGCAUCAGGCUCCUGCUCGAAUCCUUCAUAAGAAGCACACCAAGAAAAUGGAUAAAACAGCCAAACUUGACCUCCUUAUGCAGAAAAUUGGCAUGAGGGGCAAGCCCAAGGUCAUUGACCUCACAAGGAAUGAGGCCACGGUGGAGACGCUAACAGAGACCAAGAUCCAUUGUGAGACUGAUGAGAAAGACUUCUACUUGUACUACUUCCUGAUGCAGUAUCCAGGCCGCAGCUUAGUGUUUGCCAACAGCAUCUCCUGUAUCAAACGCCUCUCUGGGCUCCUCAAAGUCCUUGAUAUCAUGCCCUUGACCCUACAUGCCUGUAUGCACCAGAAGCAGAGGCUCAGAAACCUGGAGCAGUUUGCCCGUCUGGAAGACUGUGUUCUCUUGGCAACAGAUGUGGCAGCUCGGGGUCUGGAUAUUCCUAAAGUCCAGCAUGUCAUCCAUUACCAGGUAGGGGCAUCUGAAAAUUUAUAGGCAUCUGCCUGCAUUGAAUGGGGAAUUUUUAAGGCAAAGGUUGGGGGAGGGAGGAGGAAUUGUUGGUUCCAAGGCUCUUGCAUCAGAGAAUACCACUGGCAUCGAGUGCCCACUACUCCCGCCUUUGGAACACUGCUGAGAUUUGAUCUCCAGAAAACCUUGCUUUGUCUCAUGUCAAGUAACCCUUCUCUCCAAGCUACUUGGUAUUGUCAGGUUAGAGUCUUAGUUUUUUCUGUGAAAUGGGCAUAAGUUAAGCAUGUAAUUGGUUACCCUGAUGUAGAGAAAUAUUAAUAGAAGAGUGUGGUAGUUUAGAUCUCUCUGGGCUCAAAUCGCAGCUGUGUAACCUUGAACAAGUCAUGUAGUCUCUCUGUAUCUCAGUUUUCUCAUGUAUUAAAUGGCAAUGAGUACCUGCUUCUUAGGGUUCUUAUUGAGGUAAAAUAAAUUACUAAGUAUAAAGAGCUUAAGAAGCCACCUGGCACAUUGCAAGCACUUAACUCAUGUUAACUGCCGUUGAUAGUAGCAGUAAUAUUAGUGUGUGCAUCUAGUGAAUAUCAGCAUAAAGUUGUGGUUAGGAGUAUGGGCACCGGAGCCAGACUGCCAGGCUUUGAAUCCCCAGUCUGCUGCUUCAUAGUUGGUUAGCUUUAGGCAAAUUAUUUAGUACCUCUGGUUUCAGUGUCAUUGUUUGUAAACUGGAAGUAACAACUAGCUACCCCAUAAGGGUCAUCCUGAGAAUUAAAUUGAGCUGAUGCUGAUGAAGCUGGUAGCACAGUGUAAGUACUCAAUAAAUGGUAGCUAGUAUGGCAUUAUUAUUUUUCCUCUUUAAUUCCUCUUUGUGCUUUUAAAAAUCUUUUAGGCUGCUGUUUCAGAGAAACAACAAACUCAAAGUGCUUUUUCCCAUUCUCUCACUUCACAACAACAAUCAACACAGAAGACUUCUGUAACCAAAUGUGUGGGUGUUCUUCACCACAUAUCAAGCAGCAGCCACCAGCUGGGUGUCCUCUAAUUUAGUUUCAUUUUCUGAUGCUGUCUUCCUGGAGAUAGCCUCAGAUCCCACAAGAUGUCCCUCCUCCCCGCAACCAGUCAAUAAGUCAGGGCCUCUGGAACUUCUGACCAACCAGCUUCAAGUUGAGGUUCUCAUGACCCUGCUUUGGGUUCAGUUAAUUUGCUACAGCAGCUCUCAGAACUAAAAGAAACACAUUUACCAGUUUAUUAUAGAGGAUAUUACAAAGAAUAUAGAUGGGGAGAUGUCUAGGCUGAGGUACAGGGGAAGGAGUAUGGAGUUGCCAUGCCCCUCCUGGGUACACCACCCUCCAGGAAUGUCCACAUAUUCAGCUUAUUCAAAAGUUCUCCAAACUCUGCCUUUAGGAAUAUUUAUGGAGACUUCAUUGGAUAAGAUGAUUGAUUAAGCCAUUGGCCUUUAGGAAGUAGUGCUGCAAGUCCCAACCUUCUAAUCCUGCCUUGGCCUUUCUGGUUACCAGCCCCCAUCCUGAAACUACCUAGGGGGCUAUCAGCCAUCAGUCAAUAGUUUGUCAUUAGCAUACAAAAAGACAUUACUUUUGAGAUUCCUUUGCCAGGAAACAGGAUGAAGAGCAAAUACAUAUUUCACUGUAUCACAGGUGCUAAUUUUGGUUUAGCAAAUCUCUAUAGUCUUCCCUUUUUUGGGGAAGGAGCUGGGUCAACCUUUGUGGAGUCAAGAUGAAUCAAAUACAGUCCCAGCCCCUAAGAAGUAUUGGAUCCAGCAGAGGAGGUGAGAUGACCACAGCCAUAAUUUAAGGCAGAAGGUAUUAGAAAAUUACAAAAUACAAUAGAAGAGAGAGGUAACUUCUAGUUUGGGAGGUUGGAAAGUACUUUCUAAAAACAUGCCUGGCAUUUAAGGGUGAAGAGGAUUUGGACAUGUAGAGGCAUUAAAGGAAGGAGCAAAGAAAUGGGCAGUGUUCAGGGGCACUUGGCUCAGAGUGAGAAGAGGGGAUGUGUUGGGAAAGGAAUAGUUGCUGAGGCUGGAGGGGUAAGUUGAGGGCAAGUCACUAAAGGCGCUGAGUGUCAGGUUGAAGAGUUGGGCCUUUAUCCUCUAAGUAAAAAAUGGCAAAUCUCAUUUCUAGAACUCUUAUGAACAGUUCAUAGUGGCUACUUAAAGUACUGUAUUGAAAAGGAUACCUAGAUGUUAUCUGGGCCCAGUGGAGAAGACUGUUGUGCUUGAUUAAUGGUGUGUGCCAGGGGCUCAGUGGGUGUGUCAGCAACCAUGCCACAUUGUUUAUGGAUAAUAUAUAUAUAGGAGUAGAGACCGUAUAACCCAGGGAUUAACAUGGUCUGUGGAGCUGGGCUGCUUAAAUCCUGGAUAAGAAGUGACUGCUGUGGUCUGGCUGCAUGGUCCUGAGGAACUGAACCAGGGUCAGGGGCACGGGAGGGAAGAGCCUGCACAGUGAAUGGGCUAAACCUGGGAAUAUUUUGAAUGUGGGACUAAGAGGAGGGCUAGAUUACUCUACAAUGCUGCCGAAGUUUCUACCUUCCUGGCUGGGAGGUAGGAGGGUCUGGUUUGGGGAUGUGGCCCUGAGGAGAAGACCAGUGUUUGGCAGUGGCCAUGUAUUGAUCUCCCAGUUCUUCCUGUGGCAGGUCCCACGUACCUCGGAGAUUUAUGUCCACCGAAGUGGUCGAACUGCUCGAGCUACCAAUGAAGGCCUCAGCCUGAUGCUCAUUGGGCCUGAGGAUGUGAUCAACUUUAAGAAGAUUUACAAAACCCUCAAGAAAGAUGAGGACAUCCCACUGUUCCCCGUGCAGACAAAAUACAUGGAUGUGGUCAAGGAGCGAAUCCGUUUAGCUCGACAGAUUGAGAAAUCUGAGUAUCGGAACUUCCAGGCUUGCCUGCACAACUCUUGGAUUGAGCAGGCAGCGGCUGCCCUGGAGAUUGAGCUGGAAGAAGACAUGUAUAAGGGAGGAAAAGCUGACCAGCAAGAAGAGCGUCGGAGACAAAAGCAGAUGAAGGUUCUGAAGAAGGAGCUGCGCCACCUGCUCUCCCAGCCGCUGUUUACAGAGAGCCAGAAAACCAAGUAUCCCACUCAGUCUGGCAAGCCGCCCCUGCUUGUGUCUGCCCCAAGUAAGAGUGAGUCUGCUUUGAGCUGUCUCUCCAAGCAGAGGAAGAAGAAGACCAAGAAGCCGAAGGAGCCGCAGCCGGAACAGCCACAGCCAAGUACAAGUGCAAAUUAACUGCCCUGGUCAAGUGCGUCAGUGACUGCACAUUGGUUUCUGUUCUCUGGCUAUUUGCAAAACCUCUCCCACCCUUGUGUUUCACUCCACCACCAACCCCAGGUAAAAAAGUCUCCCUCUCUUCCACUCACACCCAUAGCGGGAGAGACCUCAUGCAGAUUUGCAUUGUUUUGGAGUAAGAAUUCUAUGCAGCAGCUUAAUUUUUCUGUAUUGCAGUGUUUAUAGGCUUCUUGUGUGUUCAACUUUGAUUUCAUAAAUUAAAAACAAUGGUCAGAGC
rnacentral:sRNA from 1 species